rnacentral:rRNA from 1 species
AGUGAACGCUGGCGGCAGGCCUAACACAUGCAAGUCGAGCGGUAGAGGGGAGCUUGCUUCCCUUGAGAGCGGCGGACGGGUGAGUAAUGCCUAGGAAUCUGCCUGGUAGUGGGGGACAACGUUCGGAAACGGACGCUAAUACCGCAUACGUCCUACGGGAGAAAGUGGGGGAUCUUCGGACCUUACGCUAUCAGAUGAGCCUAGGUCGGAUUAGCUAGUUGGUAGGGUAAAGGCCUACCAAGGCGACGAUCCGUAACUGGUCUGAGAGGAUGAUCAGUCACACUGGAACUGAGACACGGUCCAGACUCCUACGGGAGGCAGCAGUGGGGAAUAUUGGACAAUGGGCGCAAGCCUGAUCCAGCCAUGCCGCGUGUGUGAAGAAGGUCUUCGGAUUGUAAAGCACUUUAAGUUGGGAGGAAGUUCAGUAAGUUAAUACCUUGUUGAAUUGACGUUACCGACAGAAUAGGCACCGGCUAACUCUGUGCCAGCAGCCGCCGUAACAC